rnacentral:rRNA from 1 species
ACGGGUGCGGAACACGUUGGCACUGCCUUUAUCUGGGGGAUAGCCUUUCGAAAGGAAGAUAAUACCCCAUAAUAUGUUGAAUGGCAUCAUUCGACAUUGAAAACUCCGGUGGAUAGAGAUGGGCACGCGCAAGAUUAGAUAGUUGGUGAGGUAACGGCUCACCAAGUCUACGAUCUUUAGGGGGCCUGAGAGGGUGAUCCCCCACACUGGUACUGAGACACGGACCAGACUCCUACGGGAGGCAGCAGUGAGGAAUAUUGGACAAUGGGUGAGAGCCUGAUCCAGCCAUCCCGCGUGAAGGACGGCUGCCCUAUGGGUUGUAAACUUCUUUUGUAUAGGGAUAAACCUACCCUCGUGAGGGUAGCUGAAGGUACUAUACGAAUAAAGCACCGGCUAACUCCGUGCCACAGGCCGGCGGGUUAAUACGGAGGGGUUGGCCAAAGGCCGGUUUAUCCCGGGAAUUUUUAUUGGGGGGUUUUUAAAAAGGGGGUUCCCGGUUAAGGCGGGAUUCCUUGGGUAAAGUUUCCAUGGGGUUGGGAAAAAUUCUUUCCACAGUUUUAACUUGGGUGGAAAAAACUUGGGCCAUUUUGAUUUAACUUG